UACGAAGGGGGCUAGCGUUGCUCGGAAUUACUGGGCGUAAAGGGCGCGUAGGCGGCACUGUUAGUCAGGCGUGAAAUUCCUGGGCGCAACCUGGGGACUGCGCUUGAUACGGCAGAGCUUGAGGAUGGAAGAGGGUCGCGGAAUUCCCAGUGUAGAGGUGAAAUUCGUAGAUAUUGGGAAGAACACCGGUGGCGAAGGCGGCGACCUGGUCCAUUACUGACGCUGAGGCGCGACAGCGUGGGGAGCAAACAGG
rnacentral:rRNA from 1 species